rnacentral:rRNA from 1 species
AUUGAACGCUGGCGGCAUGCUUUACACAUGCAAGUCGAACGGCAGCGCGGGCUUCGGCCUGGCGGCGAGUGGCGAACGGGUGAGUAAUGCAUCGGAACGUGCCCAGUAGUGGGGGAUAGCCCGGCGAAAGCCGGAUUAAUACCGCAUACGACCUGAGGGUGAAAGCGGGGGACCGAAAGGCCUCGCGCUAUUGGAGCGGCCGAUGUCGGAUUAGCUAGUUGGUGGGGUAAAGGCUUACCAAGGCGACGAUCCGUAGCUGGUCUGAGAGGACGACCAGCCACACUGGGACUGAGACACGGCCCAGGCUCCUACGGGAGGCAGCAGUGGGGAAUUUUGGACAAUGGGGGCAACCCUGAUCCAGCCAUGCCGCGUGCGGGAAGAAGGCCUUCGGGUUGUAAACCGCUUUUGUUCGGGAAGAAAUCCUCUGGGCUAAUACCCCGGGGGGAUGACGGUACCGGAAGAAUAAGCACCGGCUAACUACGUG